rnacentral:rRNA from 1 species
UGACGAAGCGACGCCGCGUGGGUGAGGAAGGCCUUCGGGUUGUAAAGCCCUGUCAGGAGUUAUGAAAUGUAGGUGCGCUAAUAUCGUGCUUAUUUGACAAAGGCUCCAAAGGAAGCCACGGCUAACUCUGUGCCAGCAGCCGCGGUAAUACAGAGGUGGCGAGCGUUGUUCGGAAUUAUUGGGCGUAAAGAGCACGUAGGUGGGUUUGCAAGUCAGAUGUGAAAGCCUUCUGUUCAACGGAAGAAUUGCAUCUGAAACUGCCAAUCUUGAGUGUAGGAGGGGAGAAUGGAACUUCUGGUGGAGCGGUGAAAUGCGUAGAUAUCAGAAGGAACGCCGGCGGCGAAAGCGAUUCUCUGGCCUAUUACUGACACUCAGUGUGCGAAAGCUAGGGGAGCAAACGGGAUUAGAUACCCCGGUAGUCCUAGCCGUAAACGAUGGGCACUAAGUAGAGG